rnacentral:rRNA from 1 species
CCUACGGGGGGCAGCAGUCGAGAAUCAUUCACAAUGGUGGAAACCCUGAUGGUGCGACGCCGCGUGGGGGAAUGAAGGUCUUCGGAUUGUAAACCCCUGUCAUGUGGGAGCAAAUUAAAAAGAUAGUACCACAAGAGGAAUAGACGGCUAACUCUGUGCCAGGAGCCGCGGUAAUACAGAGGUCUCAAGCGGUGUUCGGAAUCACUGGGCGUAAAGCGUGCGUAGGCUGUUUCGUAAGUCGUGUGUGAAAGGCGCGGGCUCAACCCGCGGACGGCACAUGAUACUGCGAGACUAGAGUAAGGGAGAGGGAACCGGAAUUCUCGGUGUAGCAGUGAAAUGCGUAGAUAUCGAGAGGAACACUCGUGGCGAAGGCGGGUUCCUGGACAUUAACUGACGCUGAGGCACGAAGGCCAGGGGAGCGAAAGGGAUUAGAUACCCCAGUAGUC